rnacentral:rRNA from 2 species
AACGCUGGCGGCGUGCCUAAUACAUGCAAGUCGAACGAACUCUGGUAUUGAUUGGUGCUUGCAUCAUGAUUUACAUUUGAGUGAGUGGCGAACUGGUGAGUAACACGUGGGAAACCUGCCCAGAAGCGGGGGAUAACACCUGGAAACAGAUGCUAAUACCGCAUAACAACUUGGACCGCAUGGUCCGAGUUUGAAAGAUGGCUUCGGCUAUCACUUUUGGAUGGUCCCGCGGCGUAUUAGCUAGAUGGUGAGGUAACGGCUCACCAUGGCAAUGAUACGUAGCCGACCUGAGAGGGUAAUCGGCCACAUUGGGACUGAGACACGGCCCAAACUCCUACGGGAGGCAGCAGUAGGGAAUCUUCCACAAUGGACGAAAGUCUGAUGGAGCAACGCCGCGUGAGUGAAGAAGGGUUUCGGCUCGUAAAACUCUGUUGUUAAAGAAGAACAUAUCUGAGAGUAACUGUUCAGGUAUUGACGGUAUUUAACCAGAAAGCCACGGCUAACUACGUGCCAGCAGCCGCGGUAAUACGUAGGUGGCAAGCGUUGUCCGGAUUUAUUGGGCGUAAAGCGAGCGCAGGCGGUUUUUUAAGUCUGAUGUGAAAGCCUUCGGCUCAACCGAAGAAGUGCAUCGGAAACUGGGAAACUUGAGUGCAGAAGAGGACAGUGGAACUCCAUGUGUAGCGGUGAAAUGCGUAGAUAUAUGGAAGAACACCAGUGGCGAAGGCGGCUGUCUGGUCUGUAACUGACGCUGAGGCUCGAAAGUAUGGGUAGCAAACAGGAUUAGAUACCCUGGUAGUCCAUACCGUAAACGAUGAAUGCUAAGUGUUGGAGGGUUUCCGCCCUUCAGUGCUGCAGCUAACGCAUUAAGCAUUCCGCCUGGGGAGUACGGCCGCAAGGCUGAAACUCAAAGGAAUUGACGGGGGCCCGCACAAGCGGUGGAGCAUGUGGUUUAAUUCGAAGCUACGCGAAGAACCUUACCAGGUCUUGACAUACUAUGCAAAUCUAAGAGAUUAGACGUUCCCUUCGGGGACAUGGAUACAGGUGGUGCAUGGUUGUCGUCAGCUCGUGUCGUGAGAUGUUGGGUUAAGUCCCGCAACGAGCGCAACCCUUAUUAUCAGUUGCCAGCAUUAAGUUGGGCACUCUGGUGAGACUGCCGGUGACAAACCGGAGGAAGGUGGGGAUGACGUCAAAUCAUCAUGCCCCUUAUGACCUGGGCUACACACGUGCUACAAUGGAUGGUACAACGAGUUGCGAACUCGCGAGAGUAAGCUAAUCUCUUAAAGCCAUUCUCAGUUCGGAUUGUAGGCUGCAACUCGCCUACAUGAAGUCGGAAUCGCUAGUAAUCGCGGAUCAGCAUGCCGCGGUGAAUACGUUCCCGGGCCUUGUACACACCGCCCGUCACACCAUGAGAGUUUGUAACACCCAAAGUCGGUGGGGUAACCUUUUAGGAACCAGCCGCCUAAGGUGGGACAGAUGAUUAGGGUGAAGUC